UUAUGCUAAUAAUCUACAAUUUUUUUUCCCCCUCGUCGCCUAUAAAAAGGGGAAAUAAAGCAGAGAUUUCCAGUCAUAUUCGGAACUCUGCAGCUAUAGCAUUGGACCGACACGUGGAAGGCAUUUUGUGGGGAUUUAAAGCGCUGAUGUGGAGCCUGUGCUGCGGGGAAGCUUUUCGCCACAUCUGCAUCCAUGCUGACUCCUGAAGCUCCUGGGAAGGGAGUUCAAGAUUCAAACUCAAAGGCUGGUGACACCAAGAUCCCACUUCACAUCACCUUGUGCUUGUUGUUCUCACAGCCAAUUACUUCAGAGCUGCACCUAUUUGAUGAAAGAUCAAGCAGAAGCAUCUCUUUUUCCUGCACAUUAACUUAUAUUUCCAGAUUGUUUUUAUGUAAAUAACAUUUAAAGUCCCGUUCACAUCUAAUAUCCCUAACAGCAAAAUCCUCUUUUGCAAACACAAAUAAUCCCGAUUAACCCAGCGCACAGUGACAGACACCAUGGUGAAACUUCAAAGUCACUUUUCAGCUCCCUUUUUUUUUUCUUUCUUUCCAUUUCAGCGUUCAGAGGCGUUCUCCUCCCCAGAAGGCAAGGGGGUCGUCGUGUGGAAAAAGCCCCCGGUGAACUGGUAGAAAUGCUGUCCCCAUUACAGCAGCAGCAGGGGUCAGGCCAUGGCAGCAAGCAUCCAAGCUGCCCAAAAUUGGCUGCAAAAUGACCAAUUACCUGAGUGAAGGCUGAGGAGAAAGGACUUGGAAAAAUAUGGCUUUUACUUAAUUCAGCUAAACUGUAAAAGAAACUAGUGUAACGGCGAUGCCUCAUACUUGCUGCAUGUCGCAGCAUCCCACCUGUUAGGAGGGAAGAUCUGCGCCUCAGGCAGGAAAUGCAUUUAUAGAUAAGUGAGAAACAGGGAUAACGUUUUGCGGCGUGACGUAACUGCUGGAAUAAUGUGAGCCGGGGGAAUUAUUACACCAAAACAAUGAUUUAUUAAACAUCUUUACAUGUAGGUCUUAUUGAAUUAAUUCCCCAGCAAAUGGAAAACAUGCAAAUUCGGCAAUUAAGUCAUUUGCCCAUGGAGAGCGCGGCUGCUUGACGUUCAGCUGCCACUGCGCCUUUAGUCUGAAACCCUUUUUAGUUUUUUUUUUUUCCUGUUAAGAGUUAAGUCUCCAACAAAGACAGGAAGGAGGUCAGCACUCAGCCAACACCUGAAUGCGGCUCUCUUUUUUGUGCUCCCCUUGAUCCCCACAGUCUGUGCCUGUCAUUAGUCUUAAUGAUGGAAAAUUGUCAUGUUGAUACAAGUCUUGCUCUCCCCCUCUCUUCUUUGUAUAAGUAGAAGGUGGAAGCUCCAUUUGUAACAAAGUUCUUUGUGACUAAAAGCCGUGGACAUUGCAUUUGUGCCGCGGGAGAAAAAAGGGGGCUGUAGAUGCUCUUUCCAUAGCUGGGAUAAUUAUUCCUACUGUGACCUUAAUGAUUCGCUCUGUUCAUCCUGCAUCUCAUCCACGCGCCAGGCCCUCAGCGGAGCCCCGUGUCAGGGAAUAUGAAAAACCCAUAUAAUGAAACCAUUUUGGGCUGAUGGAAAAAAGGGGGCUACUGGAGCUGCACUUGCUACAAAGACGGCUCAAUUAUAUGAGUAAUUGUGAUAAUUUUCCCUCCAUUCACUGCCUUCUCUGAAAGGUAAAAAACACAGAUGCUGAAAGGGAAAUUACUUGGACAAUAUAUAAUCUGUGAAAUGGUCACAACAGAAAAAAAGAUGACUGUAAGAAAGUGAAGGACUAUAAAUAGGUAUGUUAAUGCAGGGCCACAUAAAUACACCCUCAGAAGCUCGCAGACAUAAACAAACAGCAUGCCACUGAGUCCACAAGAAGAGAGAGAAGGGAUGGAGGAGGGGGGGAAGGCAACAAAUGACCACAAAAAAGAAGAAGGUAGCUGUGCAGCUGCCAAAAAAAUUAAACCACCUUCUUCUUCCUAUUGACGAAUUUCAGCUCCUGAAAAUGCACCCCCCAUAGUUGGCUAUCAUUUGUUGUUCUCUGACAGGAAAAGGAUAAUUAUCUCUCUCAGAGGCAGCGAGACUGACAUGCCCUUUAGACUUUGCCAUGAAUGUAGAGGCUUGAUGGAAAGCCUGAGGAAUAAUUUUGUUCUUGUGCUUUUCCUUCAUCUUCAAGAGCAUGUUUUAUUCCAAAGAACAUGGAGAUGACAGGAUUGUGGAGUGCAUUAAACCAUUUGGAUUCUUUCUGUAAAUAAGGCAUCGCUCCGUCUGUCAACGUCUAAAUUUUUGGGGGAAAAAAACCUCGAAAAUGCUUUAAAAUGUCAAUUCUGUUCCAGUGUAAGAGAUAUGGGAUAGAGAGAUGCAUAUGUUUCUUUUAAAUGCAAGUAAAACAUUGUUUUAUUUUGUUAAUAAAAAAGUAGAAGAGA